ensembl:lncRNA FN1-DT FN1 divergent transcript
GGGGGACUGUGGGUUCGCAGCGAACAAAAGAGAUGCUGAUGGCCCGCCAGGACUGGGGAAAGCCUUCCUUUCCUGGGGAUGGGACGCCCGUUUCCACUGAAAGUGAAAUCACUGUGAACAACCUGAAAAUU